UUACUCUCUCUCUUUUGUUCUUCAUUGAUUUUUCAUCAAUUUUUUGGAUAAAAAAUUUGCUCAACAUUACUACAGAAUAGGUCUUCAAAGAUUGAUUUGGUAAUCAUUAAUCUAAUUUGGAUCCUGAAGCAACUUAAAAAGCACAGAAGAACCUAGUAUCUAAUUUAUUCAAUCCCUAAUUUCUCAUAUUCACUUCAAUUAUUCUGUAGCAUAAACUCAGGUUUUUUUUAUUCAUUACUUUUUUCAAUGAUUCUGUUUGUAUUGAGCGACUUUAAUUUGUUUUCUUUUGUUUUAGAUUGAAUCUUAACUCUAUAAUUUGUUACUGAACUCUUUUCAAAGCCAACUUCAGUUUAAUUUGGAAAUCCCCUAUUUCAGGUGUAAACUAUGACCUAAUCGUAAUAUCCUAUUUUCUAAAUCUAGAAAUCCUGGUCAUGUUUUUUCUGGUCCUAAUCGUGACUCUCUGAAGUCAUGAACUCUACUAAGAGGAAAGAAUUAUUCAGAAAGUUUUAAUUUAUGCCUAGAAUUCUUCAUGUUUGUGGUGGCUAAGUCAUCUGAAAUCUAAACCAAAUAUAGGUGUUGUUACUUUUUGCAUUUUGUGUAGGACUCAAAUCUCUCUAUUUCAUUGCCUACAUUCUGAACAGGUUGACUAUUUGUUUGCACUUAUCAGAUUUAUUGCAAGAUUUUACAAUGACUAAUUUGUUGCCAUAAACUAACGAUAGUUAAAUCCUGGUCAUGUUUUUUUUUGUUCUAUUUUAUUUUAAGAGCUAAUAUGUGUCUAAGUUCUGUGCUAGCAGAAAACAAGUUCGUAGUGGGAAGUGGAGCCAAAACUUGAGGUGAUCUUCCUCAGUUUGAGUCCUGCUCUUGAAAAACUGAACUUGUCGAACAACAAUAUGAUAGGUCAUAUACCAGAAGAACUAGCCAGUAUCCCUGUUCUUAGUGUUAUAGACCUAUCAAAUAAUAAGAUCAAUGGCCCCAUACCUGAAAAUUUUGGUAAUUCUUCAAGUUUACAACUUCUCAAUGUGUCCUUCAACAAUAUCAUAGGUUCAAUUCCAACAGGGAAGUCAUUCAAAUUGAUGGGUAGCAGUACAUUUGUUGGGAAUUCUGAACUUUGUGGAGCACUGCUUCGACCAUGUCUUGGUUCAGUUGGAAUAUUGGGGAGCAAAGGAACAUGGAGGCUUACCCGUAUUCUGCUACUCUGUUUAGGGUCAUUAGUAAUCCUUCUAGGAGUCGCUUUUGGAAGAGGGAUCAAAAGUCGAUGGAAGAUGGUCUCAUUUGCUGAACACUUUAUGUCAUUUUGAAUGGGAUUCUCAGAGAACUUUGGGUGCUGUUAAAAGAAUCCAGUUUGCAACAUGUUGUGGCGAAUGGGGCCUAUGGCACUGUCUAUAAGGGCACCUAUGAUGGCCAAGAUGUUGCAGGUUUAAUUUGCACUCUUAGUUGUCUUUUGUUGUCCAAAUAAUUCAAAAUCUGUUAUUGGUCAUGUCAUUGGGAAUGUAAGUCAAUCUUUAGCAUUUAUCUCUUAAUAUUUGGAAUCUAGUUAUUGAAAUUUUUCUAUAGGUUCUAUUCUGCAUUUGCAAGGACAGCUUUUAAGGGUGAAAGUCAACAAAGUUUACAUAUCUUUUGGGAAAUGGUUGCAUAUAUUGCUAAUACAUUAAUUUUCAUUUGAGUGGAGUUGUUAUAGCUGAAGGAGUACUUGGUGAUGACAAUGUCUUCCAUCAUGGAACGUCAUGGACCCACCUCGUGCUUCUCUAUGUUUAUGUUCAAGUGUCGAGAUGCAUCAUAGUUGGUGCAUUAUUUUCCUUGCUAAGGUAUUUUGGAUAUGGCUUGGAUUGGAAAGAAGCUAGUAUUCUAAUCUGGUCAGGAUUGUGAGGGGCACUUGCCUUGUCACUUUCAUUAUCAG